AGAUUGAACGCUGGCGGCAGGCCUAACACAUGCAAGUCGAGCGGCAGCACGGGUACUUGUACCUGGUGGCGAGCGGCGGACGGGUGAGUAAUGCCUAGGAAUCUGCCUGAUAGUGGGGGAUAACGUUCGGAAACGGACGCUAAUACCGCAUACGUCCUACGGGAGAAGUGGGGGAUCUUCGGACCUCACGCUAUCAGAUGAGCCUAGGUCGGAUUAGCUAGGUUGGUAGGGUAAACGCCUACCAAGGCUACGAUCCGUAACUGGUCUGAGAGGAUGAUCGAGUCACUACUAGGAACUGAAGACACGGUACCACGUACCUCCCGUA
rnacentral:rRNA from 1 species